rnacentral:rRNA from 1 species
CAGCCGCCACGGUAAUACGAAGGGGGCUAGCGUUGUUCGGAAUUACUGGGCGUAAAGGGCGCGUAGGCGGCCAUUCAAGUUAGAUGUGAAAGCCCUGGGCUCAACCUAGGAAUUGCAUUUGAUACUGUUUGGCUUGAGUUCGGGAGAGGUGAGUGGAAUUCCCAGUGUAGAGGUGAAAUUCGUAGAUAUUGGGAAGAACACCAGUGGCGAAGGCGGCUUACUGGCCCAUUACUGACGCUGAGGCUCGAAAGCGUGGGGAGCAAACAGGAUUAGAUACCCGUGUAGUCCCUGUCUCUUAUAU